rnacentral:rRNA from 1 species
UACGUAGGGGGCUAGCGUUGUCCGGAAUCAUUGGGCGUAAAGCGCGCGUAGGCGGUCAGAUAAGUCCGGUGUAAAAGUCAAAGGCUCAACCUUUGAAUGCCGCUGGAUACUGCUUGACUUGAGUCCGGAAGGGGCGAGUGGAAUUCCUGGUGUAGCGGUGAAAUGCGCAGAUAUCAGGAGGAACACCAAUGGCGAAGGCAGCUCGCUGGAACGGUACUGACGCUGAGGCGCGAAAGCGUGGGGAGCGAACAGG